rnacentral:rRNA from 1 species
UACGUAGGGGGCAAGCGUUGUCCGGAAUCAUUGGGCGUAAAGCGCGUGUAGGCGGCUCGAUAAGUCCGCUCUGAAAGUCCAGGGCUCAACCCUGGGAUGCGGGUGGAUACUGUCGGGCUCGAGUCCGGAAGAGGCGAGUGGAAUUCCCGGUGUAGCGGUGAAAUGCGUAGAGAUCGGGAGGAACACCAAUGGCGAAGGCAGCUCGCUGGGACGUGACUGACGCUGAGACGCGAAAGCGUGGGGAGCAAACAGG